rnacentral:rRNA from 1 species
UGGGGAAUAUUGCACAAUGGGGGAAACCCUGAUGCAGCGACGCCGCGUGAGUGAAGAAGUAUUUCGGUAUGUAAAGCUCUAUCAGCAGGGAAGAAAAUGACGGUACCUGACUAAGAAGCCCCGGCUAACUACGUGCCAGCAGCCGCGGUAAUACGUAGGGGGCAAGCGUUAUCCGGAUUUACUGGGUGUAAAGGGAGCGUAGACGGCGAAGCAAGUCUGAAGUGAAAACCCAGGGCUCAACCCUGGGACUGCUUUGGAAACUGUUUUGCUAGAGUGCUGGAGAGGUAAGUGGAAUUCCUAGUGUAGCGGUGAAAUGCGUAGAUAUUAGGAGGAACACCAGUGGCGAAGGCGGCUUACUGGACAGUAACUGACGUUGAGGCUCGAAAGCGUGGGGAGCAAACA